rnacentral:rRNA from 1 species
GCAACGAAACUGCGUACAGCUCAUUAACACACUCAUAACCUACGAGACAGCGACUUUUGUCAUAUGGAUAGCUGGAGUAAAUCUCGAGCUAAUACAUGAAAGAGUACCUCAGGUUUUGAACAACAGAGGUAAAGUUGACCGUUAGGCACGUCAAGCGGAUGAGUGGCCUAUCAGCUAGUACUUAGGAUCUUUACCUAGGUAGGCUAUAACGGGUAACGGGCGGUUACCGUCGGACUGCCGGAGAAGGAGCCUGAGAGACAGCUACUAUUCCUACGGGGAGCAGCAGGCGCGAAACUUACCCACUCGAUAGAAUCGGAGGUGGUAAUGACCAGUUCCAAGUAUGGGAUUUAUUCCCACAUUGGAUAGGUUGACAAAUUAAAGAAGUCAAGUAAUCUAGCAGAGGGCCAGUCUGGUGCCAGCAGCUGCGGUAAUUCCAGCUCUGCGAGUUUGCUCCCAUAUUGUUGCAGUUAAAACGCCCGUAGUCAGAACACGAAAACGAAUGUCAUCAUGCCGUCCACCGCGAAUAAAACAGGACGCUUAGGGUUUUUACAGAAUGAUAGAGCGCGGUCUGGAGUAUUUACCGUUAAGGUAAGAUCAAGGAGAGCGAGUGGUGCUGGUAGUAUUCCUGAGCGAGCGGUGGAAUGCAUUAACCUUAGGGAGACUAACGAAAGCGAAAGCAGCCAGCAAGUAGGUUUCUAUCGAUCAAGGGCGAGAGUAGGGGUAGCGAACCGGAUUAGAGACCCGGGUAGUCCCUACAGUAAACGAUGUCGACAAGGGAUUGGUUUUCGGUAAAAUCAGUACCUUAAGAGAAAUCAUAGUUCAUGGACUCUGGGGGAACUACGAUCGCAAGACAGAAACUUGAAGGAAUUGACGGAAGGGCACACAAGGGGUGGAGCCUGCGGCUUAAUCUGACUCAACACGGAGAAACUUACCAGGACAAGGUGAUUCUGGUGAGCGACAGUCUAAAGGACUUUCGGGAUAAGUCUUUGGGUGGUGCAUGGCCGUUGGUGGUGCGUGGGUUGACCUGUCUAGCGUUGAUUCAGGUAACGAGCGAGAUUAUUGCCAUUUUGGUAAAACGGUCUAGGAAACUAGAUUCAUUUAAAGAAUGGGACCGCCCGUCAUUUAACGGGAGGAAGGGGGUAGCAAUAACAGGUCCGUGAUGUCCUUUAGAUGCCCUGGGCUGCACGCGUGCUACAAUGGAGAUAACAAAGGGCUAGCCAACUCGAAAGAGGUAGCUACACAAUAAUUAUCUGCGUUGUUGGGAUUGGGGUUUGUAAUCAACCACAUGAACUAGGAAUCCCUUGUAAGCGUGUGUCAACAUCGCACGUUGAAUACGUCCCUGCCCUUUGUACACACCGCCCGUCGCUCCUACCGAUUGGAUGACCUGGUGAAAAUAUCAGAACUUUCGGGCUAAGGUAUUUAAAUCAUGUUAUCUAGAGGAAG